rnacentral:rRNA from 1 species
CUUGACAUCCAGAGAAUUUAGCAGAGAUGCUUUAGUGCCUUCGGGAACUCUGAGACAGGUGCUGCAUGGCUGUCGUCAGCUCGUGUUGUGAAAUGUUGGGUUAAGUCCGCAACGAGCGCAACCCUUAUCCUUUGUUGCCAGCACGUAAUGGUGGGAAACUCAAAGGAGACUGCCGGUGAUAAACCGGAGGAAGGUGGGGAUGACGUCAAGUCAUCAUGGCCCUUACGAGUAGGGCUACACACGUGCUACAAUGGCGUAUACAAAGAGAAGCGACCUCGCGAGAGCAAGCGGACCUCAUAAAGUGCGUCGUAGUCCGGAUUGGAGUCUGCAACUCGACUCCAUGAAGUCGGAAUCGCUAGUAAUCGUAAAUCAGAAUGUUACGGUGAAUACGUUCCCGGGCCUUGUACACACCGCCCGUCACACCAUGGGAGUGGGUUGCAAAAGAAGUAGAUAGCUUAACCUUCGGGAGGGCGUUUACCACUUUGUGAUUCAUGACUGGGGUGAAGUCGUAACAAGGUAAGCGUAGUGCU